rnacentral:rRNA from 1 species
GACGAACGCUGGCGGCGUGCUUAACACAUGCAAGUCGAACGGAAAGGCCCCUUCGGGGGUACUCGAGUGGCGAACGGGUGAGUAACACGUGAGUAACCUGCCCUUGACUUCGGGAUAACUUCAGGAAACUGGGGCUAAUACCGGAUAGGAAUCCUUGCUGCAUGGUGGGGGUUGGAAAGCUUCGGCGGUUUUGGAUGGACUCGCGGCUUAUCAGCUUGUUGGUGGGGUAGUGGCUUACCAAGGCUUUGACGGGUAGCCGGCCUGAGAGGGCGACCGGCCACAUUGGGACUGAGAUACGGCCCGGACUCCUACGGGAGGCAGCAGUGGGGAAUAUUGCACAAUGGGCGGAAGCCUGAUGCAGCAACGCCGCGUGCGGGAUGACGGCCUUCGGGUUGUAAACCGCUUUCAGCAGGGGCGAAGCUUGUGGUGACGGUACCUGCAGAAGAGGCACCGGCUAACUACGUG